rnacentral:lncRNA from 1 species
GAUGUGUUGGAUAUAUACUCACUCUCUAUUGAUGGUAUAUGAAAGCUACGAGGGAAAACUGAAUCACUUUUCAUUUUCUAGUUUCAUAUAUUCAGUAGGUUGGCUUUACUUAAGUGGAUUCACAAAGUUAAGAAAAAGUUCAAUCAUAUAAGUAAAAUUAAAUCUACAAAAGUUAAAGAGACCGUAUCCGAGAAAUGAUAUAUCGAGGAUGGGUCCAACUUUUAUCGCUGCAUUUGAUUUGAUAUAGUCAUAAACCCAACCUACUACGCUAAGAAUCGCAUUAGAAAAUGGUAAUUGCACUUAUGUCCAAGUUUUGUUUUUCAUUUAUUUAUUCAAAUUUGGUCGGUGGUCAGACAGAGUUCUCAUAGAAAAAGCCAGUAUAAUCUCUCACCGUCCACAAGAUCGGACGUCUCUCGUGAUAUCACGUAACAGAGUUAGAUCACUAACUUCAGGUGGACCCAUAAGAGAUUAGCGUUUGCGACGUGUACCGUUUUGACUAGUCUCUGAAGAAGACCCUUCUUUGGCUCUACCAUGAUUCCAAGCUUCUUUUCUUUUCUUUUCUUUUCUUACAACCUUGCUUUUUAUCAUACAAGUUUUAUGCGUGACCCAAUCACAUUUGUCAUGUUAUCAUGUAUUAUUUAGUUUCAGUGUUUGUUUUUUUUUUUUUUUAGCAACUAAUUUCAUUCAUUCGUAAAACUAAGAUGAGUUCAGGCCUAAGACAACAUGGGUAGAGAGACAGGACUUUGCAAGCCCAUCGGCAAGCCCAUUGUUGGCCCUCGGAAUAAAAAGAAAACGACAAGAAAUAAACGGAAACGUAGAGGAAAAGGCCAAGUCGUCGAUAUCAGAGAGAACGCCGUAGAGUUCCAUCGUAUUCCGGCAAAAUGAGAUUGCUUGGACAAGUACUUGGGAAUCUGUUCGAAUACAGAUGUGAGGGUAGUUGUGAGAGGCUGCCUGGAGGAGAGCUUCUCUGAUUGCAAGGGCUUCUCUCAUACAUGGCGAGGAGACCGAAAAUUGGAGCUUUGAUCCGCGAUGAAGCUCCCUCGAUGAUUGAUCCGCAAAAACCCACGCUAAGCCCGCGUUUCUGGUAAUUGGGCUCCAAGAAGCAUCGGUAUUACAUGAGAUCUCCUGUGGGUGAGGCGGUGGUGUCCGUUGGGGUCUGGAUGAUCGAUUUUCUUGUUGAACUUGAGGUGGCUGAGCUAUCUCCCAUUCCUUAAGAGCCCCUAUCGCUUUGAGGGCUGUCUCUGCAGGUGAUUGAGUACGAUUCUCAAAAAUAAGCUGGUUUCACGCGACCC